ensembl:lncRNA
UAGUGGGAUGAUUAUGCUUGAAUUUGCUUACUCUUAAUCAACUACACUCACUCAGAGAAUCUCACCAUUUGAUUCUGGGGGUUCCCAGGUGGUGCUAGUGGAAAAGACACCGACUGCCAGUGCGGGAGACAUGGGAGCAGGGGCAUCUCAGAGAUCAUCUCCGGUAACGGGGGCUUGACUUCGUGAUGAGUGAAAGAAUCCAGGCCUGAUCACUGGGACCCGGGAGAAGUCGGACUGAAACAAAAGAGGAGCCUGAGGGCGGCGGCGGAGGACUCAGAACAGUCUAGCACCCAAGGCCAACACAGAAGCUGGCUGAGGCAGGCCCUCUGUGCCUGCGAGGGCAGUGUCCUUGGCCAUGUGUCCUGGGAGAGAAAAAAGCGGGUCUUAGAGUGGGCCUUAGAGUCUUAGGAGCUCUUAGACUUCCCUGCUGGCUCAGACGGUAAAGCGUCUGUCUACAAUGCAGGAGACCUGGGUUCGAUCC